AUUAAACGCUGGCGGCAUGCCUUACACAUGCAAGUCGAACGGUAGCGCGGGGCAACCUGGCGACGAGUGGCGAACGGGUGAGUAAAGCAUCGGAACGUGCCCUGGAAUGGGGGAUAACGUAGCGAAAGUUACGCUAAUACCGCAUAUUCUGUGAGCAGGAAAGCAGGGGAUCGCAAGACCUUGCGUUCUGGGAGCGGCCGAUGUCGGAUUAGCUAGUUGGCGGGGUAACGGCCCACCAAGGCAACGACGGGUAGCUGGUCUGAGAGGACGAUCAGCCACACUGGAACUGAGACACGGUCCAGACUCCUACGGGAGGCAGCAGUGGGGAAUUUUGCACAAUGGGCGAAAGCCUGAUGCAGCAACGCCGCGUGUGUGAUGAAGGUUUUCGGAUCGUAAAGCACUUUCGACCGGGACGAAUAAGCUUCACCUAAUACGUGAGGCCCUGACGGUACCGGGAGAAGAAGCACCGGCUAACUCUGUGCCAGCAGCCGCGGUAA
rnacentral:rRNA from 1 species